rnacentral:rRNA from 1 species
AUGAUUGUUGGAGGUGACUAUUUUGAAGGUUCCCAUGAUCACAAUCUCAUGACAGGAUCUUUGACCCAUGAUUCUUCUCUGGCUCCUAAAUGCAACGACAACACAAAUAUUGAGCUACAGAGAUUCAAGGUGCAGUCGUUUUCUGCAGAUAUCCUUUCUGAUUCGACCAAUCUUUCUUCUGAAGCUGCAAGAGCGAUCAACCACCUCCAGCAUCAACUAGGAAUUGGUUUGGAGCAGGAUAUGCCGCCAGUGGGAACUGCGACCUGGGAUACUUCUAUCUGCACCAUUCAAGACCAAAUUAUCAACCAUCAGCUUAGCGAAGAUCCACAAAACAUAUUGGUGCAACAACAGAUUCAACAGUAUGAUGCUGCGCUUUAUCCAAACAGUGGUUACACACCAGCACCUGAUCUCUUAAACCUUCUCCACUGCACUGUGGCUCCAGUGUUCCCUGCAACAGCAUCAGUCUUUGGUGAUACAGCACUAAGUGGUGAUACCAACUAUUUGGAUCUUAAUGGUGAGUUUACAGGAGUGGCAGCAAUUCCUGACAGUGGAUUAAUGUACACUAGUGAUCCAGCAUUGCAGUUAGGGUACCAUGCUGCCCAGUCUCACGCACUAAAGGAUAUCUGCCAUUCACUGCCGCAAAAUUAUGGGCUCUUCCCCAGUGAGGAUGAAAGAGAUGUCAUGCUUGGGGUUGGAAGUGUCGGAGGAGAUCUUUUUCAGGAUAUAGAUGACAGGCAAUUUGAUACUGUACUGGAGGGCAGAAGAGGAAAGGGUGAGUUCGGAAAAGGAAAAGGAAAAGCUAACUUUGCGACUGAGAGAGAGAGGAGGGAACAACUCAAUGUGAAGUAUAAGACGUUAAGAAUGCUCUUCCCCAACCCUACCAAGAAUGACAGGGCUUCAGUAGUAGGUGAUGCCAUUGAAUACAUAGAUGAGCUGAAUCGAACAGUGAAGGAACUGAAGAUCCUAGUGGAACAGAAGUGGCAUGGGACUAAUAGGAGAAAGAUAAGAAAGUUGGAUGAAGAGGCGGCUGCUGAUGGUGAAAGCUCAUCGAUGAGGCCAAUGAGGGAUGAGCAAGACAAUCAGCUUGAUGGGGCCAUAAGAAGCUCAUGGGUUCAGAGGAGGUCCAGGGAGUGCCAUGUUGAUGUUCGCAUAGUGGAAAAUGAAAUAAACAUCAAGCUCACAGAAAAGAAGAAGACCAACUCCUCCCUGCUUCAUGUUGCAAAGGUUCUUGAUGAAUUCCAUCUUGAGAUCAUCCAUGUAGUUGGAGGGAUUAUUGGUGAUCACUACAUAUUCAUGUUUAACACUAAGGUGACUGAAGGUUCCUCAGUUUAUGCUUGUGCAGUGGCAAAGAGGAUCCUUCAAGCAGUGGAUGCACAACACCAGGCACUUGACAUAUUCAACUAG